rnacentral:rRNA from 1 species
UACGAAGGGGGCUAGCGUUGCUCGGAAUUACGGGGCGUAAAGGGCGCGUAGGCGGACAGUUUAGUCAGAGGUGAAAGCCCAGGGCUCAACCUUGGAAUUGCCUUUGAUACUGGCUGUCUUGAGUUCGGGAGAGGUGAGUGGAAUGCCGAGUGUAGAGGUGAAAUUCGUAGAUAUUCGGCGGAACACCAGUGGCGAAGGCGACUCACUGGCCCGAUACUGACGCUGAGGCGCGAAAGCGUGGGGAGCAAACAGG